CCUACGGGUGGCAGCAGUGGGGAAUAUUGGGCAAUGAGCGCAAGCCUGACCCAGCAACGCCGCGUGAAGGAAGAAGGCUUUCGGGUUGUAAACUUCUUUUCUCAGGGACGAAGAAAGUGACGGUACCUGAGGAAUAAGCCACGGGUAACUACGUGCAAGCCGCCGGCGGAAUACGUAGGUGGCAAGCGUUAUGCGGAUUUACUGGGUGUAAAGGGCGGAUAUGCGGGGACGCAAGUCAGAUGUGAAAACCACGGGCUCAACCUGUGACCUGCAUUUGAUACUGUGUUUCUUGAGUACUGGAGAGGCAGACGGAAUUCCUAGUGUAGCGGUGAAAUGCGUAGAUAUUAGGAGGAACACCAGUGGCGAAGGCAGUCUGCUGGACAGCAACUGACGCUGAGGCGCGAAAGCGUGGGGAGCAAACAGGAUUAGAUACCCGAGUAGUC
rnacentral:rRNA from 1 species